GUUUAGAUAGCUCAGGUGGUUAGAGCAAAGGACUGAAAAUCCUUUUGGCAAUGGUUCGACCAAUGCCAAUGG